UUCCAGCCUUACCUUUUCUCUCUUCUUUCUCUUUUCUCUCUAUUAACUCAACUUUUUCUUUUCCCUCUACUUUUCUCUCUUCUCCCAUCUCAUCACUUAUGCUCACAAUAAUAUUAAACUCUUCCUUAAGGUUAACCUCAGUAUUAGCCCUAAAUUGCUUUUCAACUUUAUCCUCCAACUUCUUAGCCAGUUGGCCAACCUGUAUCUCCAAAUUCUUUAUAGCAGUCUCAAUGUUUUUAUGGUUUGAGAUAGUCACCUGCAUAAACUGUUGGAGGGUUUCCUCAAGCUUUGUAGUUCUUUCGGAU
rnacentral:lncRNA from 1 species